UUGUCUCAAAGAUUAAGCCAUGCAUGUCUCAGUACAAGCCAAAUUAAGGUGAAACCGCGAAAGGCUCAUUAAAUCAGUUAUGGUUCCUUAGAUCGUACCACAUUUACUUGGAUAACUGUGGUAAUUCUAGAGCUAAUACAUGCAAACAGAGUCCCAACCGGACACGGAAGGGACGCUUUUAUUAGAUCAAAACCAAUCGGUGGCGGGUUUCGGCUCGUCAUCGUACAACUUGGUGAAUCUGAAUAACUUUAUGCUGAUCGCACGGUCUCGCACCGGCGACGCAUCUUUCAAAUGUCUGCCUUAUCAACUGUCGAUGGUAGGUUCUGCGCCUACCAUGGUUGUAACGGGUAACGGGGAAUCAGGGUUCGAUUCCGGAGAGGGAGCCUGAGAAACGGCUACCACAUCCAAGGAAGGCAGCAGGCGCGCAAAUUACCCACUCCCGGCACGGGGAGGUAGUGACGAAAAAUAACGAUACGGGACUCAUCCGAGGCCCCGUAAUCGGAAUGAGUACACCUUAAAUCCUUUAACAAGGAUCAAUUGGAGGGCAAGUCUGGUGCCAGCAGCCGCGGUAACCCCAGCUCCAAUAGCGUAUAUUAAAGUUGUUGCGGUUAAAAAGCUCGUAGUCGAACUUGUGUCCCGCGCCGCUGGUUCAUCGCUCGCGGUGUCAACUGGCGUGUCGCGGGACGUCCUGUCGGUGGGCUUAGCCUUCAGGGGCGGCCCAACUCAAUCCCGCCGCGGUGCUCUUCACUGAGUGUCGAGGUGGGCCGGCACGUUUACUUUGAACAAAUUAGAGUGCUUAAAGCAGGCUAAAAUUUUGCCUGAAUAUUCUGUGCAUGGAAUAAUGAAAUAGGACCUCGGUUCUAUUUUGUUGGUUUUCGGAACCCCGAGGUAAUGAUUAAUAGGAACUGAUGGGGGCAUUCGUAUUGCGACGUUAGAGGUGAAAUUCUUGGACCGUCGCAAGACGGACAGAAGCGAAAGCAUUUGCCAAAAAUGUUUUCAUUGAUCAAGAACGAAAGUUAGAGGUUCGAAGGCGAUCAGAUACCGCCCUAGUUCUAACCAUAAACGAUGCCAGCUAGCGAUCCGCCGACGUUCCUCCGAUGACUCGGCGGGCAGCUUCCGGGAAACCAAAGCUUUUGGGUUCCGGGGGAAGUAUGGUUGCAAAGCUGAAACUUAAAGGAAUUGACGGAAGGGCACCACCAGGAGUGGGGCCUGCGGCUCAAUUUGACUCAACACGGGAAACCUCACCAGGCCCAGACACCGGAAGGAUUGACAGAUUGAGAGCUCUUUCUUGAUUCGGUGGGUGGUGGUGCAUGGCCGUUCUU
rnacentral:rRNA from 1 species